rnacentral:lncRNA from 10 species
AAAAAGGCUAAAAUCAAAGAAACGGGUUAGGUGUUUAUAGGAGGAAGUUAUACAUCAAUAUGAAUAUUCAAUUUUACUGUCUUAUUGAGACUGUCUAUUAGAUGUGGGAAGAAGAAUUGAACCCAUGGGACUCCUCUCUGCAGUGUAAAAAAAUUAAAAUUUUAUGCAUUUCUCACAGUCUCUAACCCAUAUUUUUUUCUAUGUCACUUACAAACAGUAAUUGAUGCCUUUGUUUUCAAAUGAGAUAUUUCUGGAGUGAUAAAUCUGGAUCUAUGGAUCUUACAUAAGGGAUUUAGGUGGGCAGCAGCACUUGGUUAUUUACAAGUUCAGGAUCCUGUUUAUAAAGCAAGGAAAGAUUGCUAUCUGUCUCCAGCACUAUGGCGAGAUAAUUAAUAGGAGCACUGCUGGAGACUGAUAGUGCAGGCGGCCGAUACCCAUGGCAGGAGCUCUCGUCAUCUAACUGCCACAGAAUUGUGAAGGUAAAGAAUCUGCAGAAAAGUGGAACAUUCAUUUUUACUAAAUAAAUGCAUUAUCUAUAGCACACAUUAUAGAGUUUUGUUGUUGUUGUUGUUAAUCUAACAUGUAACAGAAAUAAAAGAGAUUGUUUCUAAACCACUUUAAACUGUUCUGGCAACUACCUUAGACCCUUCUGGCGAAGCAUCUCUAAAGAAGACCAUUGACAGCCACUAUCAGUAGCAGCAGCAGUGGGCAUGUGUCCUCGCUUGCCACCCCACAAAAAAGCAAACAAACAAAAAUCAUUCCCAGAUGAAAACUACGAAGUUGUAAACUAUAAAAGGGAAGAUUAAACAUUGUCUGUGUGUUCUCUAACAUCCAUUUGAUUUAUAGUUUUUUUUUUUUUCCUUUUUUGACAGAAGUUGGUCUUAUCCCAUUUUCUCAGCAUAAAAAUAACAAUUCUCUUAUAAGGCAGUUUUACGCAGCAUUAACAGAGCAAAGAGUAAACUUUGUUUGCUUUAAUAAUACUAAAUUGUAACAUCAUAUUUUCUAUUUGCAAAUGUUUGUCCAUCUACUGGAUGUAUAAAUCUUCGUAGUGACAAAAGUAUGUUUGAUUUAUUUAUAAUGGUCAAUGGAAGGGCUAUGAAAUUGUGUAUUAAGCUACUAUGAGAAAAGCGGCAUGGCUCAAAUAAUCAUCUUUAUAUUCAGCAUGCUUCAGGCAAUCACUAAUUUUUGAGAAAUCUAUUGUUCUCUAGUUUUUCCCAAGUACUCAUUUCCAACCUCAUUCCAUCAGGUAUUCUCUGAGGAGUCUUAUCCCUAUGACUUGCUCAAAGCAGAUAUUGUCUAUUUUUUUUGUCUAUUAAGAAAAUAACAAAAUUUUAAAACCAAAUAAGAUCUUGGCUAAGAUACCAUAUGAAAGGUGAAUACACACAGACCCAAACAAGUCCAAAAGAUUGCCUGUCAUAAAGUUAAAACUGGAAUCAGAACUGGCAACCUGGACUUCUGACUUGUGAUUCAGGAUAUAUUUCAC